UACGUAGGGUGCAAGCGUUGUCCGGAAUUAUUGGGCGUAAAGAGCUCGUAGGCGGUCUGUCGCGUCGGCUGUGAAAUCCCGGAGCUCAACUCCGGGUCUGCAGUCGAUACGGGCAAACUGGAGUACUGCAGGGGAGACUGGAAUUCCUGGUGUAGCGGUGAAAUGCGCAGAUAUCAGGGGGAACACCGGUGGCGAAGGCGGGUCUCUGGGCAUUAACUGACGCUGAGGAGCGAAAGCAUGGGGAGCGAACAGG
rnacentral:rRNA from 1 species